UACGAAGGGGGCUAGCGUUACUCGGAAUCACUGGGCGUAAAGCGUACGUAGGCGGAUUGCUAAGUCAGGGGUGAAAUCCUGGAGCUCAACUCCAGAACUGCCUUUGAUACUGGCGAUCUCGAGUCCGGGAGAGGUGAGUGGAACUGCGAGUGUAGAGGUGAAAUUCGUAGAUAUUCGCAAGAACACCAGUGGCGAAGGCGGCUCACUGGCCCGGUACUGACGCUGAGGUGCGAAAGCGUGGGGAGCAAACAGG
rnacentral:rRNA from 1 species